rnacentral:misc_RNA from 1 species
UUUCCGUAGGUGAACCUGCGGAAGGAUCAUUAAUAAAUUUUUUUAGGUUGAAAUUUGAAACCUAAAAAUAUAAUAAUCCUACCCUUUGUGAAUUUGUUGUUUGAAAUAAUUUUUUAAAAAAUUAUUUAUAGUUUUGUCUAUCCCUGAGUUGUAAGAGAAGUAAUUCUUUGAAAGCUUAGGGAAUAGGCUUUAUCUAUAAAUAUGAUUUUAAAGACCUUUUUUAAAUUAAACUUUUGUAUUCAUUUGUCUAAAUUUAUUUUUAAUAAUUAAAAACAACUUUUGACAAUGGAUCUCUUGGUUCUCGCAACGAUGAAGAACGCAGCAAAAUGCGAUAAGUAAUGUGAAUUGCAGAAUACGUGAAUCAUCAAAUCUUCGAACGCAUAUUGCACUUUUUUAGUUUACUAAAAAGUAUGUCUGUUUGAGUAUCAGUAAAAUAUUCUCAUAAAAAAUUUAUUUUUUUAUGGUUUGAGUGUUUUACAACGAUACAAGUUGUUUCACUUAAUGACUUUAAAUUGCCUAUUAAUUUAGUCAAUUUUUAAAAUUGCAUAAAUUUCCCGUAAAAGGAUAACCUAUCAAUUUUAAAAUUAACUGAUAUAAAAGGCUUGAUAAAAGGAAUUUAAUUAAAUAACUUGAUCUCAAGUCAGAUAAGAGUACCCGCUGAACUUAAGCAUAUCAAUAAGCGAGGAAAAAACUAACAAGGAUUCCCCUAGUAAGGCGAGUGAAGCGGGAAGAGCUCAAUUUGAAAUCUUCAAGUUUGACCUUGACGAAUUGUAGUUUAAAGAAGUGUUUUCGGUUAAGGAGUGGUAAAAGUUCUUUGGAAUAGGACAUCAUAGAGGGUGAGAAUCCCGUAUUUGACCAUUCUUUCUAGCUUUGUGAUACACUUCAAAGAGUCGGAUUGUUUGGAAUGCAUCCAAAAUGGGUGGUAAAUUUCAUCUAAGCUAAUAUUGGCGAGAGACCGAUAGCGAACAGUACCGUGAGGGAAAGAUGAAAAGAACUUUGAAAGAGAGUUAAACAGUACGUGAAAUUGUCAAAAGGGAAGCGUUUGACACCAGUGUUGUUUUUCCGAAAAUCAAUUAAAAAUAAUUCAUGCCAGUUGUAUUGACCUUAUCAGUUGCAAUUUGUUUUGGGUUCUUUUUGAUGCACUUUCGGUUAACAGUCAACAUCAAUUUCCUUUGCUGUAAAAGGGCAGAGGAAGGUGGCUUCAAUUUCGGUUGAAGUGUUUAUAGCUUUUGUCUCUGCAGUCGGAGAUUGAGGUCUGCAGCGUAGAUCCUUCGGGUUAGAUACAUUCGUGCUAGUUAUAUCUUUUAUAGACAACUUGUUGACUAUGAUCGGUCUUGUAAUUUACUCGCGAGUGUAUUUUACCUACGCUUAGGAUGUUG